UGGGGAAUAUUGGACAAUGGGCGAAAGCCUGAUCCAGCCAUGCCGCGUGUGUGAAGAAGGCCUUUUGGUUGUAAAGCACUUUAAGUGGGGAGGAAAAGCUUAUGGUUAAUACCCAUAAGCCCUGACGUUACCCACAGAAUAAGCACCGGCUAACUCUGUGCCAGCAGCCGCGGUAAUACAGAGGGUGCAAGCGUUAAUCGGAAUUACUGGGCGUAAAGCGCGCGUAGGUGGUUAUUUAAGUCAGAUGUGAAAGCCCCGGGCUUAACCUGGGAACUGCAUCUGAUACUGGAUAACUAGAGUAGGUGAGAGGGGAGUAGAAUUCCAGGUGUAGCGGUGAAAUGCGUAGAGAUCUGGAGGAAUACCGAUGGCGAAGGCAGCUCCCUGGCAUCAUACUGACACUGAGGUGCGAAAGCGUGGGUAGCAAACAGGAUUAGAUACCCUGGUAGUCCACGCCGUAAACGAUGUCUACCAGUCGUUGGGUCUUUUAAAGACUUAGUGACGCAGUUAACGCAAUAAGUAGACCGCCUGGGGAGUACGACCGCAAGGUUA
rnacentral:rRNA from 1 species